AUCGUUCUCCGCCUUAUGUCAUGAUGGUCCGUUUACCUAUCUUCUUCUCUACCGUUUAUGUCUUUCUCAUCUUCACUACUAUGGGGUUUCACCAUCUCACCUUCAUAUGCAUUCAUUGCUAUUCCAAUAACUUCACUCCUCUAUUAUGUGCUUUUACUUAGGGUUCGUCGAUUCCAAUCUUCAUUGUAACGGCGAGGAUUCCAAAUGGUAAGGAUUGUUCUUCAAUUCCCUCUUAUUUAACUCUUGGUCCACUACUACACCUUCUUAUUGUCGUAAUUCAGUCAUUUGCAUAUAAUACAUCAUCUCACUAAUUCAAUUUCUCACUUCCCAAUCUGCCAAAAAAAUCCAUUGUGGCGAUCAUGGAUCCCCUUUCGUAUCUUUUGCGGAGCUUAAACCUAGCCGCCUUGAGCAACAAUUACUAGGUAGAUUGCUCAGUUUCAAGCCUGUACGUAAUGUUAAAAAUCCGGCCGACUUCUGCCUUCGAAACUUCCAUCACGCUAUUAACAGCUUGCGUUUGUACCUGAGAUCGAUGAAUCGGGAACCAUGUCUUGCGAAGCUAUCAAGUAUUCUGUGUGAUCGAGCUUUGUACUCAUGGGGAGGUAGAGACAUUAUGAGGAAAGUUGUUGUACUGAGUGAGUUCUUGCUUCCAUGAAGAUAUGGAUUCUGAAGCUACAAGCACACUUAUGGCUGCAGCAGAUAAAUGUGUGUCGGUUGACCUUCUUUUGUUUGAGAACCAGUCAUCUAAGCCCAGGAGAAGACCUCAGAUGCUUAUCGGAUCUUAACAAUUGUUCAAUUCAAAAAAGCUUUCCUGAUGGAAAAUCACUUCUUAGCCUUGAAAAGAAAUGGUUUCAGGAGCUAAAGGAUGACACUGAAGAAUCACUGCUGGCCAGCAGAUGCAGUGUCUGGUGAAGAAGAAUGCACGCCUGCAUCUUCUACUGUGCACCUAACCAACGAACUACCAAGAAAAACCCCCCAACCAACGCUGAAACAGAGGGGCAAAAAAACACAGCAAGAAACUAAAAAAUGUAACCAAAAAAAACCCUAUACCUAAAUAAUAAAAUCAAAGAAGCUACCCGAGAAAAAUCACAUCGGAAACACAAAUCAACUGUGGAAAAGUUCAAUUGC